rnacentral:rRNA from 1 species
AGUGAACGCUGGCGGUAGGCCUAACACAUGCAAGUCGAACGGCAGCACAGUACGAUCUUGCUCUUACGGGUGGCGAGUGGCGGACGGGUGAGGAAUACAUCGGACUCUACUUUUUCGUGGGGGAUAACGUAAGGAGACUUACUCUAAUACCGCAUACGACCUACGGUGGAAGGCAGGGGAUCUUCGGACCUUUCGCGGUUGAACUCGCCGAUGUCGGAUUAGCUAGUUGGCGGGGUAAAGGCCCACCAAGGCGCCGAUCCGUAGCUGGUCGGAGAGGAGGAUAAGCGACACGGGAGCUGAGACACGCACAAGACGCCUAAGGGAGGGAGCAGUGGGGAACGGGGGACAAUGGGCGGAAGCAUGAUCCAGUCAGACCGAGUGUGUGGAGAAGGCCCUCGGGUUGGAAAGCCCGUUUUUUGGGAAAGAAAAGCAGUAGGUUAAGACCCCGCUGUACUGACGGUACCCAAAGAAUAAGCACCGGCUAACUUCGUG